rnacentral:rRNA from 1 species
GACUACAGCCAUACCACCCUGAAUGUGCCGGAUCUCAUCUGAUCUCAGAAGCUAAGCAGGGUCAGGCCUGGUUAGUACUUAGAUGGGAGACCACCUAGGAAGACCAGGUGCUGUAGGCA